ACAGAUAUGAGCAGAGAAAAAUACCGAGAUGUACCCCUAGCUAUGAUAUAUCCUCGUAACACACGAACAUUACAUAUUAUAACUGUUUUAUCGCAUAGUUUUAUCAUUAAACAUUAUAUAUUAUUUUCAUUUAAAUUUGUUUAUUAUUAUUUUUACACUUUUGAUUCUCUUUCUGUGCCUCGCUGACUGAAACACGAAAACUUCUGUUUUAGAAAAGGUGUUCCCCAGAUAAAAGUAUCCAACAGAUUUCUGCACUGGUUUUAAAUCUUUGCAUUUCAUUGGCCAAACAUAUUAUUGUUUUUCUUGUAAAAAAAAAAAAAACAAAGAAAAAGAAACAUUUGAGAAAACUCAGAAUUUCAUAUACUAGUAUUUCAUGUAUUUCUGAAUUUGGCAAUAACUAUCGAGUCUUUGAAACAUUCUUUUACUUUAUAAAUGUAGGUGUUUGUGAUAAUUCUUUCUCUGUGAACUGUAAAUUGGAGCUAAAACCAUCUUUUCUUUGAAAGGAAAAAUAUACUCCCUCGAUAGGACCUGGCCACGGUAAGAGAAAAAGUGUUGCGAUAUAUAUCGGAACAGUUUUACUGUGCUGAUAUAUAUCACAACAGUUUCUUUCUAAUGAAACUCCAUAGAGAUUUCCGUGUUGAUAUAUAUCGUAACAGUUUUGUAAAAUAUCAGCACAGAUUUUGUGGCAAUAAUGUGUGUUACCAUGUUUAACAUACUGUAAAUAUCAAAGGAAAAUUGCCGCACUAUGCAAUAAAUAGAGAUAUAAUCUUUAUUCGUUUAUGUAUGUAACCUACACAUGUCCCAUUAUUGGUUCAAUAUAUCAAAUAUCGGCAAUACUAGUGCGUCGUUAUAUUACUCAAUAAAGGAUAUGCAUUACGGUAUUCCAAAAAUUCAAAAAUAAGAAGAACACUUAACGACAUGAAAGUCACAGUGCGGAUAGCUGCAAUUGUAUUCCAUCUAUAAUUGGAAAGUCUUAUCACUUAUAUGGGCUUGAGUGUAAAGUGACUCGUUACAGAAACGAAAAAGUAAAAGAAAUGGAAAAAGGAAAGAAUUAAUUUAAAUUGCGGAUCAUUCGAUUCUGAUGAUAUAAAGGAUUGAAUUAUAUUUUAUCGGUAUACAUGAAAAUUUUCGGCUUUGAUUUUUAACUAUUAACUGAUUGUCACAACAUCCAGCUUUGAUUUAUAUGCUCUGUGACACUAGCAUACAGUCCAAAUAAAAAUCAUUUUUAACCUGUCAAUUCGAAGAAGGUAACGAAAUGUGUCUGUCCCACAAAAUAGCUUAAACAGCAAAUCUUGCCGUAAAAUGAGAACAUAACUGAUUCGUUGUACAUGGACAAUAGGCUAACAUAUUAUCUUCGUUCGGAAACAUAGAAUGCAACCAAGCAAAAUAACAGCAGGUACGGUUUAAGUGAGUCUGUAUAAUAUUUUAUAAGAAGCAAUUAGAUAUGCAAUAACCUUCAUGCUAUCUAGCACCAGCGUAAGUGGAAUUCUAAUGUCGUGAUAGUAAAAUUGAAUUUAUUCCAUUAUCCAAAACGACCAGAAAAUGUAACAACACUGAGUCCAAGUUCUGGGAGACUUUUUACAGUCGCCACAAGGCACUUUGAUUAUAUAAAUAACUGCAGUAUAAUUGUUAUAGUGUUUUAUGUUUAUACUAUUUUCAGAAAUGUUGUGCUGUACAAAUAUUGAUGUGAAAAAAUGAAAAUCUUAUAAACGUAAUGUGUAAAUGGACUGAUUAGCUUGCAGUCUAAUAGUAUAUUAUAUCAUGCUCGGGUGUGACAGAGAGCUUACAAGUCCGAGAGCUUUUAAGGGGGGAGGGGGAUACUGGUACAUAAGGACACACCUAUAUUUAGUUCCGACACCUGUUGAUUUUAUACUGAAUGUUAUAACUUCUUAAAUUUAUUUGCUAGCUUGUCUUUGUACUGUAUCAUAAGACGAAAUAGUUACGCUUUAAUACAAUAUACUUACAAGUUUAAUAUAAAAAUAUCAUGGGGAAGUCGAUUAGUUUUUCAAAAGAUUUUAUUGGAUGUAAAACGUACAGAUCGUGUAAAAUGAACGUGUUCCCGUUCCCUAAACGACGCUAGCAUAUAAAUCAUCCUUUUUAGCGUAGCACAUUAUAUAACUUUUGUUUUGGGUUUAACGCCGUUUUUCAACAGUAUUUUAGUCAUGUAACGGCGGGGAUUAUAUACCUUUAAGACAAAUAUAGCUAUUGGAAAAUGACUAUAGAUAUAUAAAUAUCAUGUCAACAAAAAUAGGAAAAAACGAUAUUCCAAUGACACAUAAAGUACAGAAAAUGUUUAAACAUUUGUUUUAACUAUUUAUGAAACAAACGUCUGUUUGCCAGCUUUCUGUACAUUGUACAGCAAUUAUAUGAUCACACUUUCUAACACUUCGUUUAAAUACGCCACAAAUAAACAUAUUACUACGUGUGAUGUCGACAAACAAAUAAUUACCAUCUGUACUCAUUUCAAUAAAUAGUAUUACUUCGGAAGCAGACUAGAACAAUGGUAUGCCACGUACAUGUUUGGUCAGCAGAUACUGAAUCUAAAUCGUUUGGUCACAUAUCUCUAGAGCUUGAGAUUUCAGAACAAGGGCAUACGGAAAAUACGGACGUAGAAACUAAGCAAAUACAAGGGCGUUCAGAACAGAAUCUCAAAGAGCAAUUACCUUCAGAACCAGAGUUUAAGGAAUGGACGGAAUUAGAUUCAUCCGAUUUUUGCUCAGAACAGGAUCGUGCAAAUUCAGAUCCGUUGGAGAAAUCUGUAUCAUCAACACAGGAGUUCGACGUGUGGACGGAUGUACACUUUGAAUCGUCUCCGGAGGAAUGGGUUGAAAUUGACGAGACAGGAGAUAAUGCAGGGGAGAAUAAAAACAAGAGUAUAUCGCAAGAUCUUAAAGUAGAGAAAAAUAUGUCAACGAAGGGGUCAUCUGUACAGAAAUUAUUACAAACGGCAUUUCAGUCUGUCAAUGAAAAGUCUUCGGCGGAAAAGAAAAACGUUUAUAUCAGUUUAUGGCCAAGUAAGAGGGAAAGUAUAAACGUUUGUACAGUGUUUAGCGGAGUAGAGUCUAAAUGCUUUGAAAGCUUAAAGGAGGAAAUUCGUGAAACUAACUGUCACCCAACGGUUACAUAUCACCUCACAGAUCUAAAAGAAACCGCUAUCACAGAGUGGUGGAAUCAAUUUAAAAGACACCCCCAACAGUGGUCAUGUCCUGGAAACAGUUGUUCUAACAUUGUAUUUCGAGCAUUAUGCGUCGGGAGUGAAUGGUUCGUUGGUCGUAACGAAGCAGUAGCUACAACUCCGGAAUCUGUAAGAAAGCUUGUAAAAAGUUAUCUUAAACAAAAAGAUAAGAGAAUAAAUUCAAGCAACAAAUGUAAGUCACGCGUAAAGAAGAAAUGUUUUAUACUCCGUUUCAUCAAUAAUAUAUGGAAUGUGUUACAACAUAAACUAUCUAAUUCUAUAUCCAAAAAAAAAUAUUAUUACAGUUUAUAGCUUUACACCUUUGUUUAUUAUUUAGUAUUGUAUUGUAUUGGUAUUCGUUUAUAUAUGUAACUUAAACAUGUCCUGUUAUUGGUUCAAUAUAUUAGCUGCCCUUACGAUAUUAAAGUUAGUGGACCGUUCACCGAAAUGCGUUAAUCUUUUUAAAUGCAUGUAUGGUAUUCCAAACAUUUAAAAAUAAGUGGAACACUUUAAAUUACGACAUAAAAGUCACAGCACGUAUAGCUGAAAUUGUAUGACCUCUAUGAUUGGAAAGACUAAUCACUAAUAUGGACGUAAGUGUAAGGUGACUCGUUAUAAGAAAUUGUAAGCCUACACUUAUGUACCAGAACUUCUCGUACAAUACCAUUCGAAUAAACACAGUCAUGUUCUUCAAAUCAAAUACUUAUAACAGCGAACACUUUGUAUACAAAAUGUGAUAAAGCCGACGUUAUCCAGAUUCCAAAGCCAUUAUAAGACAUUUUCAACAUGAUUUUAAAGAUUCUAAAUUAUGUUUGAUAUAGUAUGUUUUUCUGAUCAUUGGUCGCAGUUCGAAUUAUUCAGUUAUUUUGUACAAUACAGCCAUGACUGUACUAGAAUUGAAUAUUUUGUUAAGGAAACCAUGCCCUUUUAGAAAUAUAACAACUAGUUAUCUACCUUUAGCAAAAAAAGACGCACCGGUUGAUAUACGUACUGGGAAAGUUUACAAAAUAUGUCAUUUCUAAAGCUACAGCUGAUAAAUUACAAUUUAGAAUUGUGAGAUUACAUUGUCAAAACAUACUAAAAAAGGCACCGAAAAAAUAAACCGCGGUGGACAAAUGAAUUGUCUAACUUGUGAACUGAAAUGGGUAAAGCUGAAAAAUUUUUCUUUGUUGGAUUUAACGUCGCACCGACACAUAAUAGGUCAUAUGGCGACUUUCCAGCUUUAAUGGUGGAGGAAGACCCCAGGUGCCCCUCCGUGCAUUAUAUCAUCACGAGCGGCACCUGGGUAGAACCACCGACCUUCCGUAAGCCAGCUGGAUGACUUCACCCGAGUGAGGCUGGAACCCACAUCGAUGAGGGGCAAGUGAUUUGAAGUCAGUGACCUUAACCACUCGGCCACGGAGGCCCCUAAAGCUGAAAGGAAUGGUUGAAAUGUAAAACUAGUAAUAAGAAAAUAUUUAAACAGGUCUAUAUUGAUAAAAGGGAAUAUUUUGAUCGUUGUGUUCAGAAGGCCAAAAGAGAGCAUAUUAAAAAGGCUCAAAAUGAUAUUGAUAACCUGUUAGCUGUUAAACCAAACAAAUUGGUAAGAUAGGUAUUGGAAAUGAGAGAGUUAAAAAUAUCCCUUUUGAGACAGUUUUUCUGACGGGUAAGUCUGUAAAAAUCCUUGGGUUGUGUUAGACAAAUGGACGUCUGACUUUUCUGGCCUUCUGAAUACAGACGAUGGGAAUAAUUGCUCUAAUUUUGAAGUUGGUACAAGCGGUAAUAAAGCUGAUGACUCUUUAGAAUUUAACCCGAAUUCAGUAAUAUUGGUUGAAGAGACAUUUAGAGCUAUUUCUCAGGCGAAAUCUGGUAAAGCUCCUGGUCAUGAUAAUAUACCAGUUGAGUUAUUAAAAAAUGAUUCGGCUCUUUAUACUCUUACUGUUGUUUUUAAUCAGUGUCUUGAUACAGGCAUAGUGCCAUCAGCAUGGUCCAAGGGUAUAAUUAGACCUGUGCCUAAGUCAUCAACUUCAGACCCAAGGGACCUGCUAUCAUACAGCGGCAUAACUCUUGCAUAAUCAAUGUUUAAAAUUUAUUGUAGUAUUUUAAACGAAAGAAUUACUAAAUUUUGUGAUCUUAAAAAUAUCCUUCGUGAUGAGCGAAAUGGUUUUGUUAAAAUAGAAGUACGAUAGAUCAUGUCCAUACACUUAAAAAGUAUUGUAGAAACAAGGAAAUUAAAGAAACAAAGUACAUAUGCAGCCUUUAUUGAUUUCAAAAAGCCAUAUAAUAAUAUCCAUCGGGCUAAAUUAUGGAUAAAACUACAAGAAAUUGGUCUAAAUGGCAAAAUUCUAUAUUCUGUCAUUUCACUGUAUAAAGAUGUUCAAUGCUGUAUAAGGUUAAAUGGCUUUGAUUCUCCUUGGUUUGAAGUAAAUUGUGGCUUGAAACAAAGCUGCCCGUCGGCGCCAAUACUUUUCAACUUGUACAUUAAUGACUUAGUUACUGCUGUUAAAGAAACAAAUAUUGGAAUCACAGCAAAUGACGAGUUGAUAAGUAUCUUAUUGAUUGCAGAUGAUGCUGUAAUUCUGGCUGAAACUCCAGAAGAUUUACAAAAGCUACUAGAUAUUUUACAUGUUUGGUGUAUAAAUAAUACUCAAUUGUAACAAAUCAAACAUAAUUCAUUUUAGAACACCUAGUUGCGUACAAACGAGUAUUGUCCUUAAGUUGGAAGCAUUUCCGCUACAUAUUGUACAUAGUUACAGAUACCUUGGUGUUUUACUAAACGAAUUUCUAGAUUUUGCAGAAAUAGCAAAAAAUGUAGCCAUGUCAGCUGGUAGAGCACUUGGACUUGUAAUCUCAAAAUGUAAACCUUUUGGAGGUUUCAACUUUUCAACAUUUUCAAAACUAUAUGAUACAAUGGUUUCACCUGUUAUAUUUUAUUCAGCUCUCCCAUCUGGGGUGAUAAAUCUUACUAAUGUAUAAAUUCUGUUCAUAACAUAGCAAUAUUUUCUUGGAGUGGGGAAAUACACCCCAAAUGCAGCUGUACUUGGGGACAUGGGCUGGAAGCCAGUAUUUGUUAAACAAUGGGGUGCAGUGGCAAGACAGUACUGCGUCAUCUGUUACAAUUUACCUCCAAGGAGGGGAAAUCGAUUUCCCGAUAUUUGUUCUUUUUAAUUAAAGUAUAAUGCAAUAACAAAUGUGAACAUUUUAUUUUCAAUAACAUGUUAGGUUUGAUGAUUAAAAAAUGAAAAUUAAUACUUUAUUCAAACUUGAUAAAGUUCAUGCCGUUUCUAAAAAUAGCACACGUGUCAUCGUAAACAAACUACACACCAGGACAUUUUUGGCAUAACAAAAGGAAAAUGAAAUUAACUACGUGAACAUUGGAUCCUGCACAAGUGGAACAGGGAGUCUAAUUUAUUUACUGUUAUAGUAGUUGAUAUUUAUUGUGCCUACAUUAACUGCACAAGAGAAAAUGUGAAAUUCUCGACCAGACAUGACCCUGUUUACUGAGGACACAGAUGUUGAAGAAGCAACUUUAAGCUGGCUACACUGGAGUUGAUCCUGAGGCUCUGAUGUUUCAAUUUCUACUACUGGUUCUGGUACGACCACAGAACUUACUGGAUUACAUGACUUGACGUCAGAAGAAUUCCUGCUUUAACAACCCUUGGUCAAACCAGUGAGAACCUGAUUAGAUGCCAUGAAUUCACGAUCCUUCAUUAAAUUCAGCAGUCUCGUGUAUGGUGGCGCUGUGAGGUGACGGUUGAUACCUGCUCGGAUACCAACUAGUGCUGACCUGGAGUAGUUUCCAUAUUUCCUGAUCUGCAGACAAGCAUAGAAUUGUUGAAGAAGUGUGUCCAGUGUUUUCGGAUCCAGGUCUUCAAAUGAUUCAUUCGGAUACUCAUUUUCAGACAUUCAGGCUGAAAAUUCAACAAAAAAAACUAUUAGGGAUUAUUUAUGAAGUCAUAUAUUUUAAAAUUUAGUGCUUCUUUAUUCUGAUGGAAAAGUGUUGCAUUAAAAAGAGAAAAAAAUGUACAAGUAAGUGUUACUAACAAAACUGAUAAACUGUUUGUAUAGACUGGAUCACUCAUGCAUUGGAAUGCCUUAUUGGCCUGUAUACGGUAAUGCCUAUAAAAAUCCAGCGGUCACACCUUGUUACUUUCGCUUAGUCGCAGAUAUCUGAAGGACAUUAAAGAUCGCCAUAGUGUUCUGUUGAAAGAUAUUUUUUUCAUAGAUUUUGUAUUUUAACUAAAGGUUAUAAAAAUCAUACAAAACGCAAAGGCCAUGUUUCACUUGAACGGUUCUGUUCAGUCAUUGUUAAAUUCAUCGCUUCGUGAUGAACUUGAACCUUGAUAGACUUUAUUAAAUAAACUAAAUCGUAAUGAAAAUAAAUUGAAUCUGGUUGUUACUCGUGACGUGUCCAAAUAAAAAUCGUCGUGAUACGAUAUCACUGGAAACGACGAUAUCAGCUGUCUAUUGUCAAGAGAGCGAAAAAUCAGUCAUAAUAUGCUACCGUGUAUGGAGUGCUGGUAGGGACAUGUCAGUUGCCAUGAGUGAAUUGUUUUUGCUAAAUGAUAUUUGUCAUUUGCUAAUUGCCAUUUGUCAAUAAUUACUUGCUAAAUGCGGAUUCAGAAGUGCAAUUUGCUAAAUGCUACUUGCCAAUUGCUCAGUUGCUAAUUACAAUUUGUCAAUUGCUCAAUUGCUAAUUACAAUUUGUCAACUGCUCAAUUGCUAAUUAUAAUUUGCUAAUUGUUGCUAAAUGCUACUUGCCAAUUGCUCAGCUGCUAAUUACAAUUUGCUAAUUGUUCAUUUCCUGAAUGUUAUUUGCUAGUUGCCAUUGGCUAAAUAUCAUUUGCCAAUUACUAUAUGUUUGGCAUCCAAAUAUAGGACAAUUUCACAUUGUAUGAAUAAAGAUACAUCAAG